GAUGAAGAACGUAGCGAAAUGCGAUAAGUAGUGUGAAUUGCAGAAUUCAGUGAAUCAUCGAAUCUUUGAACGCACAUUGCGCCUCCUGGUAUUCCGGGAGGCAUGCCUGUUCGAGCGUCAUUAAAAUCACUCAAGCUUAGGUUUACCUAUUGCUUGGUCUUGGAGAUGGAAGCCAAUUUAUUGGAAUCCUCUUCGAAAUUCAAUGGCGAAGACCCUUGCUCUCCCAAGUGUAGUAAUAACUUAUGUCACUGAAGGAAGCGAGAAAUCUUCUGCCGUAACCCCCAUAUUUUCUAUGAUUGACCUCGGAUCAGGUAGGGAUACCCGCUGAACUUAAGCAUAUCAAUGAGCGGAGGA
rnacentral:misc_RNA from 1 species